GGCCCAUUGGCCUAAUGGCUAAGGCGUCACUCUCCUAUUUUGAGAUUAAGUGAAGAUUGUGGGUUCGACUCCCAUAUGGGUCG